AAUUUUAUACAAAAAAACGUAAUACAAUUUUAGUUUUUAAAAUAAUCUCUAUUAUUUUCUAUAGUAUUUUCUAUGACUUUUUAUUACUGUAAGAACAACAGAGCAGAACAAUGUUUUAAUUUAAAAUAGGUAUAUAUUAUUAAAUAAUUUAAUUUAAUUAAAUACUUUAAUUUAAUUUAAAUAGGAACGGGCACUGAAUUAAUUUAUACACGUACUAUCGCAGUAUAUGCGCAGUAUGCAUGAUAUCCACUAAUACAAUUCAAAUUGUGGGAAGAAGUAAACGUGAGACGAGAAGAUAAAUACGUAAGAUAAUGAUUCAAGGUAUAGUGAAUCAAUUGAAUCAUCUUUACAAAAUUAUAACGUCAAGCAGAACCUAAAACGCGAUUGUCUGCGUGUAUUUCAAUCAUUCAAUGUAUAAUAGUGCAAUAUAUUCAUCGAACGUUUCAAAUCUUCUUCAUCUAUGCAUUUUUCCCCGAACUUAAAAACUUCAACCAUCGGUUGAAACUUUUCAAUCGGCGAUGCACCGCCUCGCACGUUUGAUCUAGAAAGCUGUGUUUCUUUUUAACAAGCGCAUUUCGGUGGCGUUUCUCCUAGGAAAAGGAAAGUGCAUAAGUGCAUAAGACCGCAUGAGGAAACCACGGUCGUUUGAAUGGUUUUUUACGAGAUACAUCGGGGAUGCGCAAGGAGUCUCGCUCAAUUAUACGAUGAAAUUGGAUGAUAAUCAUGGGAGCAGAUGCACGCAUGCACUUGACACUGCGUUUCGUUUUUUUCAUUUUUUUCGUACUUUUCCUCGAGCGAGUUGAGCGUCAGACGCGCGAACGAUAUAUUCUGAGAGUCCGAUUUCGUGCGAUCUCUCUUAACUAGUCGGUUACAUGCUUAGCAAUUCAUAUAUUUACAUUACAAUGAUUAAUGCGCAAUUGAUUAAGUCCUCGCAUUGAAUAUCGCUCGGAUCCUGCGAAAGUCUCGUCUCGUCUGAGAGCGGCGAAAGAAGAAAGAAGGAAGACGCCGUUGGCAGGAAUUAUUCCUGAAUGGCUUUUUGUAGAUUCUAUCACCCUGAGAAAAUCUAGGAAAACGACACCGUGCCACGAAGAAUGCUAAAUUAUCUGCAUGUACUUUCACCUGCUUUGAACGCGGUCGCGAUGCACGGCUGAUUUAUAAUCGCGAAAAUACACUCGGCAAAUUAAUUUGAAUUUGAUAAUGCAAAGAGAGAUUGCAAAGCACCACCAGACAUUAGAAUGCGGAUCACGUAUCAGUUCGUACAUAAUCCCAAUUUCUUCAUCGGCCUGCGAUGUUUCUUCUUUUUUGCGACGUUUCUUUGUCUUUCGAUUAUCGAGAGAGUCUAUAAGAUUCGUCGGCACAAAUAUUUCAAGUAUCUUGUGCUAAAAUUCAUUAAAAAUUCGGGAAUGUAUUGAUCUGCUGCCGUUUAUAGGUUCCAAGAACGGAGUAUGUGAAUAAUGCAAUUUUCCCUUUAAAGGGAUGAUCCGCGGUUUAUUUCUUGUACAAGCCCAACAACUUUGGAAACGCAAGUCUGAAAGGAUAUAACGGCAAAUUAACAGGGAGGAGGGACGAAGCGGGUUCUUCGCCUUUUACCGCAUAAAAAGUAGCUUGAGCAGCGGACUUUACGCGUGUGAUUAAAUUGUAAGUGUGUAUGUACGUGGAAAAAUGUGGAACGCCUUCUCUCGUUUUCUUGCUGUCUUGAAUAGCAGCCUCUUCUAAUAUGAAGGAUGGCAUUCGAUUUGUCGAGAGGAAAUUUUGUAACUCUCUAGCAAGAGUUAACUUGCAUUAUAUCGUCGGCGAUAUCGGCAACGAUCGACCGCUCGAUCGCAAUCGAGUGAAACUCACGUCGUUGCAGUCUUGUGUCAUCCCGUUAUUACAAUUUCCGUAAUAAAAUCAUCGAUUUGCAAUCAAAGCGCGCUUCUCGAGAAAAUCUGUAGGUGUAUGUGCGUGUCUAUGCGUCGCAAAUGUGACGACACUAUUGCUAAAAACGCUGCGGUGCUGUGCAUGAUGGAUUCAAUGGGCGUACCAAGAUGCACCGUGCUAUUACCACGCUGACUUCUGAUGUAAGUUACGCUGUUAUGGGAUAUUUACGAGUGCGGAUACGUCAACGUCAGUGUCAGUGGGGUAAAUAUGUCUUGUCGUUUCGUCGCCAGAUUUAAAGGAGUUCACUGUCGGCGGCCGGUCGGGUGAUAAAUCGAGUUAUGCUAAUGCAUGCAAAAUACUUUCGGCCGACUCGCGCUUACCUUCUUGCGUUUCUUAUAAAUAGUUUCGUAACGGGAGGCAGGUAGCAUGUAACAUGCGCUCUGUGCGAAAUAUUGUACAUAAUUGGUGUGCGAAUUAAUUCGCUACAUUUUAGAGAGAAUUGAGUCUUUAUUUCUAAAAAGAUAAUGAACAUAUCAAUCUUCGAAAUAUUCGCCAUUAUUUACUUUUGCAAUACCUUUUCCAUCUAUCAAGCAGCUAGCAAAUCUCCGCUCAAAAAAAGAAAGUAAAUAAAGACUCAAUUUUUUCAAAUUAAUUUGUGUACCUAAUACAUCUGGAAUCUAUUUAAAUAAAUUUUCGAGACUUCAUUACAAGUGAGAAUAUUCUUCUUUAAAUAAUCAUUUAAAUAUUUUGUUCCGCUUUUGACAUUUUGGAGCAACUCCUUGCGCUUUUGCGCUCCGCAUCAUUCGCGGAAUUCGUAUAAUUGGUCUUAAUAUCGAGGAGCUGCUCUAGAUUACCAAGCAAACAUAAUUAUCACCAGACUCGCAUCAAACAAGCAGCGCUCUGAGAAAAUUGAGUGCAUCGCGAUCUUCGCGAGUUUUAAAAGAUUCAGAGUUUCACUCUUCCUUACACGUUCAGAUAUAACAGCUUUAUCGUGACGAUCACACCGUAAUUUACCGAUACUUCCCUGGUACUCGUUCUCACCAUGGUGCUCGACUUCCAUUCCGAUCAUGCGGCGAUACAGCGUGCAGAUAACAAAAUGCCAGAAACUCUGGGAAUGCAAUCAGCGCGAGACAAUACCCUUUGUAUCGCAGUAAAGCGAUUUGAUUAUUAUCGAAACGUAUCGCUUCACGUAUGCAAGAAAUGUUCUCGAAACAGAUGUCUAGAAUACUAUACUGAUAUGAGGUAUACUGAUUUAUUUUAGGAUUUAUUUUAGGCAGUCGCUUAACUCAUUUUAUCACAUUUAUCGAUAUUACUUUGCACGCUUGUUUUUUAAAUUUCUUCUUCUUCUUUUUGAUCACGCCGUGAAUUUGCGAAAUUCAAAGGUAACAAGACGGUCAGUUAUAUCGAGAUUCAUCGAGAGGGGAUUGUUAUGGGGAUCGACGCAGUCACCGGACUCCACGGCCAUUCACCGCGAACUUGACCCACUGUCACACUUGCAGCACCGGUACGAUGCACGUGUUACUCUCGCGUGUACAUGCCGAGGUACGUUGUACCGAAGUAAACCCACCAUACGGUCACCAUAUGCCUUCCACUUCCUCCUUUACGACGGAUUGAAUGAAAAGAUUUGGAUCGCUGCGUGACAGACGCAUAGCGCGACGCAAGAGCGUAGCGUUUCCUCGCGCGGGAAACAUCUCGCGAUCACGCGUAUUGCCAUUAAGAGAUCGCGAGAUCGAACGUAAUUGGAGCGCGUGGCCCAUUUAAUACUCCGCAGCUGAGCGAGAAAUGAAAGCUCGAGAAAAAUACGCGCGCCCGCUUUUACACACCGCUGCGCAUCUCCGUACUAUCUGCACGCUUUACUAAUUGUAUAAGAGCGGUUAACCGAUCAGCAGGGCAGUUUGCAUUCCGCCGUUUGUUUUACAAAAAUAAAAUCAAGAAUUUCUCCGCGCCGUGAUUCCGAUCCAUUCUCUAUUAUUUAUCCAGUCCGUUUAUUCCGUUUUAUCCCGCGUGAAAUGUGAAAAUCAAAAAAUUAUGAAGACGAGAAAAAAUGUGCAAUCUGAUAUCAGAUAUUAGAUAUCUGCAAUUGCGAUAUCGGAGCAAACAUUUCUUUACUGCCGGAAUAUAAAACUUGGUACAGUAAUGAAACAAGUACAUAUGUAUAUAAUUAUUGGGGAUCAUGUCGAAAAGGAAGUAAACUAUUACGUUGAUUGAAUAAACCGCUUUGAAACAUUGCAGCUUCUGUCCUUUUAAUUAUUCAAUGAUUCUCGUAGAUUAUUAUAUUUGAGUAGGUCGGCCAGGAUACGACAGCUCUGAGGGCUCGCGUGACCGUAAUCUUUCUUGUUUAGUGGAAAGGGAUGAAUAUUUAUGCGUCUUUAUGCGCAUGUAACGCCGUCAGCUUUACUCAAUGGCAUUACAUUUUAACGCCACUCACGUCGACUGCGAAAAAUAUCCACGAAAUAAAACGAUAAUUUUUAACACAUUUUUCAUUGCAUUUUUCUCGAUAAUAUCGCUUUAAUAUCGCGCAAAAAUGCGUUACAAAAUUGGCGUGUUUUAUGUAUUUUUUAUUAUGUAAUGUUUGGACAUCCUCAUCGUCGGUCAACGAUUAGCAAAUGUUACUUGGUCAGAGAUAAUCGCUUCAGCACUUUCAUGCGUAAUGCGAUGAAAGCAGGCGAAAUGAUCGUACCAACGACGCGUGGAAUUUCUUAUGUUGAAUAAACAUGCGAAUUUCAUGUCCCGUAUUUAUUUCGCGAUCGAUUCUUUCGAGUGUCAAAGUUCACGAAGCAUCUCACUAGGAGAUAAAUCGGAAAACUAAUUGUAAUAAUACUGCGAGCAAAGUGCCUUGUGCCCAUGCCAAUUGCUAACUCCUAACGAGCGCAUUACAACUUGCUAUAGCGAGCAUGGUCGCGCGUAACUUCGUCUAUAUCCAAGAAGUUCAUGCUGCAUACUGCUAUUAAUUAACGGCGUACAUAGCGUGUAAUUAUGUAGUAAUGUAACUUGUGAUUAGAAUAUAUAAUCGAUGUAACAUACUUUUCACUGUAUCACGCCAAGAGAACGCUGGAGCAACAGGAAGAGUAUUCUCUCAAUACGUACACUUUACGUUACGUGUGUGUAUUUACGUAAAUAUAUACAAUAUUUUAUUAUACAAAAUAUUUUAUUUAUAUAAAAUAUACAAUACGUAUAUCUUGUGCUUGAUUAUCUUUACACGCGUACAAGUCGUACAACGCGCGUUGCGCUGUUUGAUCCGUUACGAAACACCCCAAGUGGGGUUUUCCGACGUUGAAAGUAUGGCCCAAUAUUGGCCCAUUGUUGGCAAUGUAAUAUCGAUAAGCAACAUUGGCUCUAUACCAUUAUUAACGAUUCGAUAGUCAUGUGUGGUUCAGUAACAUUGAAUUUAUGGGAAUUAUAUUUAUCGAUCUCGAAUACGUACUGGCUUUGGCAUGAGCCCUCGUUUGAUUAAAUGAUUGCAUGAUUGAAUCAUAAUGC